UACAGAGGGUGCGAGCGUUAAUCGGAAUUACUGGGCGUAAAGCGCACGUAGGCGGCUUGGUAUGUCGGGUGUGAAAUCCCCGGGCUCAACCUGGGAACUGCAUCCGAAACUGCCUUGCUAGAGUAUGGGAGAGGGAAGUGGAAUUUCCGGUGUAGCGGUGAAAUGCGUAGAUAUCGGAAGGAACAUCAGUGGCGAAGGCGACUUCCUGGACCAAUACUGACGCUCAGGUGCGAAAGCGUGGGGAGCAAACAGGGAU
rnacentral:rRNA from 1 species